UUACGGCCAUGUCACGUUGAAACACCAGUUCUCGUCGGAUCCCCGAUGUUAAGCAAUGUCGAGACUGAUCAGCAUCUAGAUUGGUGACCACUUGGGAAUACCAGGUGCUGUAAGC